rnacentral:rRNA from 1 species
CCUACGGGUGGCAGCAGUGGGGAAUAUUGGACAAUGGGGGCAACCCUGAUCCAGCCAUGCCGCGUGUGUGAAGAAGGCCCUCGGGUUGUAAAGCACUUUCAGUGAGGAAGAACGCCUGGUGGUUAAUACCCAUCAGGAAAGACAUCACUCACAGAAGAAGCACCGGCUAACUCCGUGCCAGCAGCCGCGGUAAUACGGAGGGUGCGAGCGUUAAUCGGAAUUACUGGGCGUAAAGCGCGCGUAGGUGGCUUGAUAAGCCGGUUGUGAAAGCCCCGGGCUCAACCUGGGAACGGCAUCCGGAACUGUCAAGCUAGAGUGCAGGAGAGGAAGGUAGAAUUCCCGGUGUAGCGGUGAAAUGCGUAGGGAUCGGGAGGAAUACCAGUGGCGAAGGCGGCCUUCUGGACUGACACUGACACUGAGGUGCGAAAGCGUGGGUAGCAAACAGGAUUAGAUACCCGUGUAGUC